GAUUUUUUUUUAAAUAUAGAUGUUUAACCAGGAAAAUCAACAACAAAACUAAAGCCUAACAGCUUUAGUGUAUGAGGAACUGAAACGCCAUUAAGGGAUUGCUUACUAAUAAAUUCAAGUUCAGUUCAUAUUC